CCUCACUUUUGUGCGUCACCCCCUUCCUAGCCGCCUCCCCUGCGUUCUCUUCCCAGCCGCCUCCCCAUUUCUUUCAUUUUCUCAUUUUCUUCUUCAACAACAAUUUCUCUCUUCACAUGUAUAGAGCAAACCAACGGAAUCAUUGGCUAGAUAGUCCGGCGCCUUUUCUCUUUCCAGGUAUGUUAUGCAUUUACAUCUUAGAAUUUUUCAAUUCCAUACACCUACUUGAUUUGAAAUUUUGGAUUUAUAUUAUAACAAUUUGAUAGAUAUUGUGCAGUAUUGUAAUAGGUAUUGAGCGGAACCUUCAAGAUUAUAAUGUAAUGUUGGGAGGAGCCACAGUUCGUCGAAAAGACAUUACAAAUAAAAAUUAGAUGAAAAUCCUUUCAAAAGUUUAUAGAAAAGGUACAUUUUAAUCUGUUGAUGCAAGCAUAUCAAAGAUCAAUCUUGAUUCAAAGAGUGAAAUUACUUUAUCGUUGAUUGCAGAAGAUAAUUUGGUGGCAAUAUCUUCAAUCUCCAGAUCAAAUACUUAGAGCUUAGUUUUAUUUUUGAUAUGGAACCGUUCAAAAUUUGUAGAUUAGAGUUGAAUAACUGAGUGAACUUUAGACAGAUAAUUGCAUAUUUUAGAAUUAGCUUUUGAAACUUUUUGAUGUAAAUUUGUAUAAUAAAGUGAUAUUCAAAGUUUAUUAUUGUGUGUUA